rnacentral:rRNA from 1 species
CUCAUCACAUCCUGGGGCUGAAGUAGGUCCCAAGGGUAUGGCUGUUCGCCAUUUAAAGUGGUACGCGAGCUGGGUUUAGAACGUCGUGAGACAGUUCGGUCCCUAUCUGCCGUGGGCGCUGGAGAAUUGAGGGGGGCUGCUCCUAGUACGAGAGGACCGGAGUGGACGCAUCACUGGUGUUCGGGUUGUCAUGCCAAUGGCACUGCCCGGUAGCUAAAUGCGGAAGAGAUAAGUGCUGAAAGCAUCUAAGCACGAAACUUGCCCCGAGAUGAGUUCUCCCUGACUCCUUGAGAGUCCUGAAGGAACGUUGAAGACGACGACGUUGAUAGGCCGGGUGUGUAAGCGCAGCGAUGCGUUGAGCUAACCGGUACUAAUGAACCGUGAGGCUUAACCUUACAACGCCGAAGGUGUUU